rnacentral:rRNA from 1 species
UACGUAGGGGGCAAGCGUUGUCCGGAAUUAUUGGGCGUAAAGAGCGCGUAGGCGGUCCGAUAAGUCGGCUGUGAAAGUCAGGGGCUCAACCCUUGGAAGCCGGCCGAUACUGUCGGACUAGAGUCCGGAAGGGGAGACUGGAAUUCCUGGUGUAGCGGUGAAAUGCGCAGAUAUCAGGAGGAACACCGGUGGCGAAGGCGGGUCUCUGGGCCGAAAUUGACGCUGAGGAGCGAAAGCGUGGGGAGCAAACAGG